CGGGGCGCGCCAAGCUGUUGUGAUCGGCGGCGACGUGCAAGCGGCUACCGCGAAUGGUGUGCUGUAUUCCCACGUCACUUCUUGGACUGUUUUUGCGCUCAUUUGAAAAACUGAAGCUUAUUGCGGAAGCCACAAACCACCCAAAAAAUUUGGUGCAGUGGGCCAUCUACGAUACUUCUUUCUGCAGAGCAUUCCUGAAAAACGCCAGCAUAGCCAAACAGCGAUUCGAAAGAGCUGCAAGACAGUGGAAUCCCAUAAACCACGCCAGUAGUGCAAGGAGCAUAUCUGUGGACAUGACUGGAGACACGUUUGUUUCCUUUCCCUGGCUGCUGACACAAUGCUCUAUCCACCAAAGUACACACAUUAUGCACUUUAUUACGUGCUGAGAAUGACAUGUUUAUGCAAUAACAAGCACC